rnacentral:rRNA from 1 species
GUCCAUGCCGUAAACGAUGGGUGCUAGGUGUCGCGGGCAUUGACCCCUGCGGUGCCGUAGCUAACGCAUUAAGCACCCCGCCUGGGGAGUACGGCCGCAAGGCUAAAACUCAAAGGAAUUGACGGGGCCCGCACAAGCGGUGGAGCAUGUGGUUUAAUUCGAUGCAACGCGAAGAACCUUACCUGGGCUAGAAAGUACGCGAGCCUGGCGGAAACGUCGGGGUGCCCUUCGGGGAACGCGUGGUUAGGUGCUGCAUGGCUGUCGU